ACGAACGCUGGCGGCACGCUUAACACAUGCAAGUCGAACGAGAGAAGAGAAGCUUGCUUUUCUGAUCUAGUGGCGGACGGGUGAGUAACACGUGAGCAAUCUGCCUUUCAGAGGGGGAUACCGAUUGGAAACGAUCGUUAAUACCGCAUAAUAUAAUUGAACCGCAUGAUUUGAUUAUCAAAGAUUUAUCGCUGAAAGAUGAGCUCGCGUCUGAUUAGCUAGUUGGUAAGGUAACGGCUUACCAAGGCGACGAUCAGUAGCCGGACUGAGAGGUUGAUCGGCCACAUUGGGACUGAGACACGGCCCAGACUCCUACGGGAGGCAGCAGUGGGGAAUAUUGCACAAUGGAGGAAACUCUGAUGCAGCGAUGCCGCGUGAGGGAAGAAGGUUUUAGGAUUGUAAACCUCUGUCUUCAGGGACGAAAAAAGACGGUACCUGAGGAGGAAGCUCCGGCUAACUACGUGCCAGCAGCCGCGGUAAUACGUAGGGAGCGAGCGUUGUCCGGAAUUACUGGGUGUAAAGGGAGCGUAGGCGGGAUCGCAAGUCAGAUGUGAAAAUUAUGGGCUUAACCCAUAAACUGCAUUUGAAACUGUGGUUCUUGAGUGAAGUAGAGGUAAGCGGAAUUCCUAGUGUAGCGGUGAAAUGCGUAGAUAUUAGGAGGAACAUCAGUGGCGAAGGCGGCUUACUGGGCUUUAACUGACGCUGAGGCUCGAAAGCGUGGGGAGCAAACAGGAUUAGAUACCCUGGUAGUCCACGCCGUAAACGAUGAUUACUAGGUGUGGGGGGACUGACCCCUUCCGUGCCGCAGCAAACGCAAUAAGUAAUCCACCUGGGGAGUACGACCGCAAGGUUGAAACUCAAAGGAAUUGACGGGGGCCCGCACAAGCAGUGGAGUAUGUGGAUUAAUUCGAAGCAACGCGAAGAACCUUACCAGGUCUUGACAUCGUAUGCAUAGCUCAGAGAUGAGUGAAAUCUCUUCGGAGACAUAUAGACAGGUGGUGCAUGGUUGUCGUCAGCUCGUGUCGUGAGAUGUUGGGUUAAGUCCCGCAACGAGCGCAACCCUUACUGUUAGUUGCUACGCAAGAGCACUCUAGCAGGACUGCCGUUGACAAAACGGAGGAAGGUGGGGAUGACGUCAAAUCAUCAUGCCCCUUAUGACCUGGGCCUCACACGUACUACAAUGGCUGUAAACAGAGGGAUGCAAAGCCGCGAGGUGGAGCGAACCCCUAAAAGCAGUCUUAGUUCGGAUUGUAGGCUGCAACCCGCCUACAUGAAGUCGGAAUUGCUAGUAAUCGCAGAUCAGCAUGCUGCGGUGAAUACGUUCCCGGGCCUUGUACACACCGCCCGUCACGCCAUGGGAGUCGGUAACACCCGAAGCCUGUAGUCUAACCGCAAGGAGGACGCAGUCGAAGGUGGGAUUGAUGACUGGGGUG
rnacentral:rRNA from 1 species